UUACCUGGGAUUCAGGGUGAAAUUUAAGGGGUUAGGAGAAUUUCAAACUCUGAAGCCGAUUGGCUGCUCCUGAAUCAAUCAUCAAGCUACUUGGGCUCCUGGAAGCCAGGUUUUUCUUAUUGAAGGACUUGCUCUGUAAAGAGCUCUGCUGACAACAUUUCUGUUCUUUGAGUUCUGUAGACUGAUAAUUCUUGUUCUGGGGUCAUCCUCUCUUGCAUAUGCACAAUGAUGUCUCUGUAAAAUAGCUCCAGGUUUGAGUAAUCAACAGCCUGUUUUAAGGAAGCAAAACUGGUUUAAAGUGGUGUAGGGAAAAAGCAAAGUAGCCAAAAUGGUGGAGGCCAGGCUCUCAGCCCACGGCCUCUCGCUCUCACCCCAUGUUUUGUAAAUAUAUGGUUAUGUAACAACUGAGAUCACUUAUAGCAUUGUGAUGCCUGUCAGGAUGUGCCUGCUUGGCCACGGGUCACUGUUGUUCUGUAAGCGUAUAUAAACUCCACCUGAAAAACCCCUUGUGGCCACGUUAUGGCUGUGUGUGCCGGGUCAGCUAUGAGAGAGUACAGCGUGUCUGUGGCUGCUGCACCAGCCAGGAGAAAAUAAACAUGUCUGUAGUUCUUCGAGUUUUCUUCCAGCUUCCCUGCUUGCACCUUGCCCACCCUGGGUUCAGCAAACAGCGAGAUACAGCAAGACAAGUGGUCAGUGUUUUAUGUACAACCUCACUGUCUUUGAACUCUGCACUAUAUAUUGGAAAAUAAAAACAUACAUAUGGUGUCUAAUCCAUUAUUCCAAGAGGUCUUCCUCCUAGCCCAUGAUAUGCCAACAUAUACAUUCAAAGAGAGAGAACAAGUUCUUUUGAAACUGGAUGUUACCAAAUAUUCAAAGAGACUGAAAGACCAUACCAGCUAUAGUGGCUAGCUCAAUGCCAGAAUCAUUAUUUUUAUGUACAAAAGACAACCCAUCUUGUAAACAAAAGCAAUAAAAAAAUGCGUCUAGAGCAGUAAAAAAAAUGGUCCAACUUUUAACACUUGGUCUUCAUGGCUGAGAAGACUUUAGAAUCUCAAAAAAGGAAUUGGAGAUGAAAUAAGUUCACGUUUUUAAAAAAAGGGUACAGGUGUUUAAUGGCUAGCUUAGUUAAUUAGUACUGGGCUUCCCUGGUGGCUCAGUGGUAAAGAAUCCAGCUGCCAAUUCAGAUGAUGCAGAUUUGAUCCCUGGGUCAGGAAGAUCCCUAAAAGAAGGAAAUGGCAACUCACUCUAGUACUCUUGUCUGGGAAAGCCCAUGGACAGUGGAGCCUGAUGCUGAUUUGGCUACUUGGGGAUCUAGUUUGUGAAGUUUCUCAGUGGAUCUGAGGACCACAGUGUUUGGAAACCACAGGUGUGGAUAGAGGAAAAGUAUUCAGAAAAGCCAAAGAAUUGAUGCUUUUGAACAGUGGUGCUGGAAAAGACUCUGGAGAGUCUCUUGGACUGCAAGAAGAUUCUAUCAGUCCAUCCUAAAGGAAAUCAGUCCUAAAUAUUCAUUGGAAGGACUGAUGCUGAAGCUGAAACUCCUGUACUUUGGCCACCUGAUGUAAAGAACUGACUCACUGGAAAAAACCCUGAUGCUGGGAAACACUGAAGGCAGGAGGAGAAGGGGACAACAGAGGAUGAGAUGGUUGGAUGGCAUCACUGACUCAAUGGAUAUCAGUUUGAGUCAACUCUGGUAGUUUGUGAUGGACAGGGAGGCCAGGUGUGCUGGAGUCCAUGGGGUUGCAAAGAGUUGGACACAACUGAGUGACCGAACUGAUGCAGAUGAAGUCAAUCAUCAUCAAGAUGAGUAGUUUAAUCACAACAGUGGUGAUUUUGCUUGGGCCACACCCUAGCAUUACCAGGACAUUUUAAACACCUGGACAGCACCCAAACCAAUUAAAUCAGAAUCUGGAGGUGGUUCCAAGUGUCAGUAUUUCAAAAGCUCUGGAAAUGGUGCAGUGCGUAAAUAAGGCUGAGCACCCAUGAACUAAGGCAGAAAUGGCACGGACCUAACAGAAGCAGAAGAAAUUAAGAAGAGGUGGCAAGAAUACACAGAAGAACUGUACAAAAAAGAUCUUCAUGAUCCAGAUAAUCACGAUGGUGUGAUCACUCACCUAGAGCCAGACAUCCUGAGGUGUGAAGUCAGGUGGGCCUUAGAAAGCAUCACUAUGAACAAAGCUAGUGGAGAUGAUAGAAUUCCAGUUGAGCUAUUUCAAGUCCUGAAAGAUGAUGCUGUGAAAGUGUUGCACUCAAUAUGCCAACAAAUUUGGAAAACUCAGCAGUGGCCACAGGACUGGAAAAGGUCAGGUUUCAUUCCAAACCCAAAGAAAGGCAAUGCCUAGGAAUGCUCAAACUACCACACAAUUGCACUUAUCUCACACGCUAGUAAAGUAAUGCUCAAAAUUCUCCAAGCCAGGCUUCAGCAAUAUGUGAACCGUGAACUUCCAGAUGUUCAAGCUGGUUUUAGAAAAGGCAGAGGAACCAGAGACCAAAUUGCCAACAUCAUUGAAAAAGCAAGAGAGUUCGAGAAAAACAUCUAUUUCUGCUUUGUUGACUAUGUCAAAGCCUUUGACUGUGUGGAUCACAAAACACUGUGGAAAAUUCUUCAAGAGAUGGGACUACCAGACCACCUGACCUGCCUCUUGAGAAAUCUGUAUGCAGGUCAGGAAGCAACAGUUAGAACUGGACAUGGAACAACAGACUGGUUCCAAAUAGGAAAAGGAAUACAUCAAGGCUGUAUAUUGUUACCCUGCUUAUGCAGAGUACAUCAUAAGAAAUGCUGGGCUGGAAGAAACACAAGCUGGAAUCAAGAUUGCUGGGAGAAAUAUAAAUAACCUCAGAUAUGGAGAUGAUACCACCCUUAUAGCAGAAAGUGAACAGGAACUAAAGAGCCUCUUGAUGAAAGUGAAAGAGGAGAGUGAAAAAGUUGGCUUAAAGCUCAACAUUCAGAAAACUAAGAUCAUGGCAUCUGGUCCCAUCACUUCAUGGAAAUAGAUGGGGAAACAGUGGAAACAGUGUCAGACUUUAUUUUUUUGGGCCCCAAAAUCACUGCAGAUGGUGAUUGCAGCCAUGAAAUUAAAAGACGCUUACUCCUUGGAAGGACAGUUAUGACCAACCUAGAUAGCAUAUUCAAAAGCAGAGACAUUAUUUUGCCAACAAAGGUGUGUUUAGUCAAGGCUAUGGUUUUCCCAGUGGUCAUGUAUGGAUGUGCGAAUUGGACUGUGGAGAAAGUGGAGCGCUGAAGAAUUGAUGCUUUUGAACUGUGGUGUUGGAGAAGACUCUUGAGAGUCCCUUGGACUGCAAGGAGAUCCAACCAGUCCAUGCUAAAGGAGAUCAGUCCUGUGUGUUCAUUGGAAGGACUGAUGCUGAAGCUGGAACUCCAGUACUUUGGCCACCUCAUGCGAAGAGUUGACUCAUUGGAAAAGACCCUGAUGCUGGGAGGGAUUGGGGGCAGGAGGAGAAGGGGAUGACAGAGGAUGAGAUGGCUGGAUGGCAUCACCGACUCAAUGGACAUGAGUUUGGGUAAACUCUGGAAGUUGGUGAUGGACAGGGAGGCCUGGCGUGCUGCGAUUCACGAAGUUGCAAAGACUCGGACGUGACUGAGUGACUGAACUGAACUGAACUAAUCUCAUUCAUGAGGGCUAUAACUUCAUAACCCCAUCACCACCCUAGAAACCUACCUCCAAAUAUCACAUUGUUGGUUAGGUUUCAGAAUAUGAAUGUUUGAGGUAUACAGACAUUGUCUGCAGCACUAGGAUAAGAAGGCACUCUGGAACACUCCAGUUAUUGUAGCAGAGAGAGAGGAUAUUAUACAUUAUGCACUGGUUCUUAAAGCUUCCACAUGUCAAUUCCAUUUACAUUUUUAACUUUAUUUGUUUCAUUAAGGCUAUUUUUAGAGCAGUUUUAGGUUCCCAGCAAAAUUGACAGGAAGGUACAGAGCUUUACCAGGGGUAGUUCCUGCCCUACACAUGAAUAACCUCCUCCAUUACCAGCAUCCUCCAACAGAGUGUAAUAUAUGUUGCAAUUGAUAAACUUAUACUGGUAUAUCAUAAUCACCCAAAGUCCAUAGUUUACACUACAAUUCACCCUUGGUGUUAUAUAUUCUAGGAAUUUGAACAAAUGUAUAAUGACAUGUAUCUAUUAUUAUAGUGCUCAGUUGUUUCUGACUUGUUGCGACCCCAUGGAUUGUAGCCUACCAGGCUCCUCUGUCCAUGGAUUUUCCAGGCAAGAAUACUGGAGUGGGUUGCCAUUUCCUUCUCUAGGGGAUCAUUAUAGUAUCUCACAGAAUAUUUUCACUUCCCUGAAAAUCUUCUGGGUUCCACCUAUUUAGCCUUCCUCCUCUAACUCCUGCCAACUACUAGUCUUUUUACUCUUUUUACUGUCUCUCUCUCUCUCUCUCUUUUUUUUUUUUUUACAGAAUGUCAUAUACAGUUGGAAGCUUAUGGUAUGUGCAUUUUCAGACUAGCUUCUGUCACUUAACCAUAUGCAUUUAAGCUUCCUCCUUGUCUUUUCAUGGCUUGAUAGCUCUUUUAUGAGCACUGCAUAAUAUUCUGUUGUCUGGAUGUACCAUAGUUUAUAAGUCAAUUCACACUACUGAAGGACAUCUUGGUUUCUUCUAAGCUUUGAUGGUAAUGAAUAAUACUUCUAUAAACACCCAUGUGCAUGUUUUUUGGUGGGCUUAAAUUUUCAACUCCUUUGGGUAAGUAUGAAGGAGUGCACUUGCUGGACCUUAAGAGAAUGUUUAGCUUUAUAAGAAACUGCCAAGUGGUCUUUCAAAGUGGCUGCACAAUUUUGCAUUCCCAACAGCAAAGAAUGAGAGUUCCUCUAACUCCCUGUCUUUGAUGGCAUUUGAUAUUCUCAGUAUUCUACAUUUGCUAUGCUAUGCUAAGUUGCUUCAGUCGUGUCCGACUCUGUGUGACCCCAUAGACGGCAGCCCACCAGGCCCCUCUGUCCCUGGGAUUCUCCAGGCAAGAACACUGGAGUGGGUUGCCAUUUCCUUCUCCAAAGUCUACAUUUAGGCCAUUCUAAUUGGUAUGUAGUUGAAUCUUAUUGAUGUUUUAAUGUACAUUUCUCUGACAUGUGGUAUCUCUUAGUAAAGCAUGGAAGGCUCAAUUUUGUAACACAAGUAUUAGCAUUACCUUGAUCCGAAAAUUUUGUUUCUGUCCCAUAUCAUCUUAAAUACAAUUCCAUCUCUGCAGAAACUGACACCUUCCUGCAGACUUUUUAUCACUACCCUCUUAUACAAGUAUUACUGUUGCUGCUGCUGCUGCUAAGUCGCUUCAGUCGUGUCCGACUCUGUGCGACCCCAUAGACGGCCUCCUACCAGGCUCCUCUGUCCCUGGGAUUCUCCAGGCAAGAACACUGGCGUGGGUUGCCAUUUCCUUCUCCAAUGCAUGAAAGUGAAAAUGAAAGUGAAGUCGCUCAUUCGUGUCCAACUCUUAGCGACCUCGUGGACUGCAGCCUACCAGGCCCCUCCGUCCAUGUAAACAGUGUUAAAUGGAAUGUCUCCUGCUUAGAAUUUUGCACAAGGAGCUAAAGCUGAGAGGAAUAGGUGGCAACGAGAGGCCUGCCUCAUUAUCCAAAAAAAAAAAAAAAACAAACAAAACAGAGG
ensembl:lncRNA